GACUGCGUGAAGUCGGAAUCGCUAGUAAUCGCGAAUCAGAAUGUCGCGGUGAAUACGUUCCCGGGCCUUGUACACACCGCCCGUCACACCAUGGGAGUGGGUUGCACCAGAAGUAGCUAGUCUAACCUUCGGGGGGACGGUUACCACGGUGUGAUUCAUGACUGGGGUGAAGUCGUAACAAGGUAGCCGUAGGGGAACCUGCGGCUGGAUCACCUCCUUA
rnacentral:rRNA from 1 species